GGAUCAGAAAAGUGUGGAGCCCGUUUGGAUAAAACGGCGACGUUUGGAGUCGUCUCCCCCCCUCUACGUACCCGCAGAAAUCACCUCUGUUCCGCCUUCAUGGAUUACAGGAGGACAGGCGGCGGCGCUUCAUCUUACCAGAAACUAGAAGAUGGAAGAUUGUGUGCUUGAGUCCUUGCUUGAUGCCGUGGACAGGUUCCCGCUCCGGGAGGAGUUCGUCGAUAGCUUGGAUCACACAGAUCCGGUGCCUCUGGCCUUUCUGCUGGAGAGCUUGGCCAACGGUGGAGUCCCGGGGGACUCAAACAAUGGGUCUGGUUGCGGGCAGCAGAUCGGCAGCGCUGUCCCGGAGAGAGCACACGGGGUGGUGUGCCGUCGUCCGGAUGCUUCUCCUACUUAGUCGGCGCAGUCAACUGACAGAAUCAACCGGCAAGCCCCCGCUGGACGAAAAGGUCUGAACCCCAAACACUGUCAUUGUAGAAUUGCAUUUGUUCAGAGUGUUUGCCCCACGUUCAUGUAGCCAAACAAAAAAAAAGAAUAUCUGAGGUCACAGUAGCACGAAUGAAAAAUGCAGGAACUGAUCUAUGCAGCAGUAGAAAUGUAAACCAUGGUAGGCGAUCGUAACAGUAUAGCUGCUGUAACUACUUUUAUGCAAAUUCAGCUGGAAGUAUUUUACUAUUGAAGGCCGGUUUGUAAAUUUAGGUUACGACUCGGUAGUGCACCACCAGACAGGACUCCAUGCCCAUCACGGAUGAGUGCAUUGGAACAAUCUAUUCGGAAGUAUGUGGAACCUAUGAAAAGUUUAGUACAUCCCACACUAGGCCUAAGUUUCAGUUCAUUGUGAGAGGCGACUUCUAUAAGAGCCGGCUAAACGCCGAAAGGACAAAGUCAAUGCAAGAAAUUGUCUGCGGCUGCUCGGUAAAAACUGAUUCAUGUAAUUAUCGUUUUGGAAAAUAAGUGGCAGCCAUGGGUUUCGGUGCUGCAAGUGUGUUUAAAUGAUGGCAUUUGUGUUUUUAUCAAAUUAUACAGGGGAAACGAGAGGCAGAGAAUAGUAGGUCAUGCCACUAUGAGUGUCCUGCAUUUAUAAGGCUGCUGCGCACGACCCACAACAGCUGGUACAUAAUAGUGCAAGGACAUGGCCCAUGACAAAUAUAACAAAGGCUAUCUGGAAACAAUCUUUUUCAAGCUUGCUGGAAUUCUUGUUGAUGUCACGCAAAAGGAACUCUUCUGCUGCACGCAAGCUGUGAACCCCUAUCUUAUUCAUUUCAAGUGAUACCUAUAAGAACUAAAUUGCUUCAGGGUUUAUGUUGGCAUCCGUGCCUUUGAUUUUGCGAUGACUGCAAGGGAUCCCAAAAACCUUGUAUACAUCCUCAGCCCAGAACUUGAGGACCUUGAUGUCUGUCAGCACUAUCUCUCUCCAACUGACACUUACCCUGCUCAUUAUCCAAGAGAAGGUAACAACCGAAGCUGAUAAUGCAUGUAUUACAUGUAAAAUAGGAGUGGAAGAGGUGCUGUCCAGAUACAUGAAAAAUUGUACUGUUCAGUUAAAAUUCGAGGAAGAGAAUAAGAGAUACGGUGAGUUCCUGUUCAA